AUCCACCCCGUCUUCCAUGUGUCAUAGCUCAAGCCGUUCACCCCCAACUACACUCCGGUCUUCUCCGAGCUGCCGCGACCCCCGGUCCUCGCCGGCACUGCUGAUGAGCCGAUGGAGAUCGUGGAACGCUGCAUGGUCAAGCACGGCAACAUCACCCUCGUGCAGGUCAGAGUUUGCUGGAAGAACGACGCCACCGCCACGACUUGGGAGGACUACGACACUCUCCGCCAUAGCUUUUCGCAAGCCCCAGCAUGGGAUGCACCACCAGCCGGCGACACCGAGCAGCAAGCACCUCCUGAAGACGGCGCUAGUUCUUAA
rnacentral:rRNA from 1 species